UACAGAGGUCCCAAGCGUUGUUCGGAUUCACUGGGCGUAAAGGGUGCGUAGGUGGUUGGGUAAGUUUGAUGUGAAAGCUCUGGGCUCAACCCAGAAAUGGCAUUGAAUACUAUCCGGCUAGAGGAGUGGAGGGGGGACUGGAAUACUUGGUGUAGCAGUGAAAUGCGUAGAUAUCAAGUGGAACACCAGUGGCGAAGGCGAGUCCCUGGACACUUCCUGACACUGAGGCACGAAAGCUAGGGGAGCAAACAGG
rnacentral:rRNA from 1 species